rnacentral:misc_RNA from 1 species
AACUGAUACUACCUGCGGGAACCUGCGGAAGGAUCAUUAGUGAAGUUUGGGUGUCUCGUCGGAGAGGCCCGUCUUUCCACAUUUUUCAACCCUGUGCACUUGUCGUCAGUGCGGGUCUCUUCUCCUGUGGACCCGCCUGAUUAGGAGCCUUUCACUUAUUUAAAAAAGAUACAUUUUCUUUUUUUUUUAACAAACGCAAGUGAAUGAAUGUAAACCAUGGUGGUGUAUAACCAAGAACCA